ensembl:snRNA U6 U6 spliceosomal RNA
GUGCUCCCUUAGCAGCACAUACACUAAAAUUGGAACUAUACAGAGAAGAUUAGCAUGGCUCCUCUGCAAAGAUUACAUGCAAAUUUGCAAAGCAUUCUGUAUUUAA